GGGACUCUGGAGAAGCUCAUUUUUGAGUGCCGAAGGUGCAAGGCGGUCCCCCGCCGAAUCUCUCAGGCAAAAGGACAGGGCC
rnacentral:ncRNA from 1 species